rnacentral:rRNA from 1 species
GAUGAACGCUAGCUACAGGCUUAACACAUGCAAGUCGAGGGGAAACGGCAUUGAGUGCUUGCACUCUUUGGACGUCGACCGGCGCACGGGUGAGUAACGCGUAUCCAACCUUCCCAUUACUGUGGGAUAACCUGCCGAAAGGCAGACUAAUAUCGCAUAGUCUUCGAUGACGGCAUCAGAUUUGAAGUAAAGAUUUAUCGGUAAUGGAUGGGGAUGCGUCUGAUUAGCUUGUUGGCGGGGUAACGGCCCACCAAGGCGACGAUCAGUAGGGGUUCUGAGAGGAAGGUCCCCCACAUUGGAACUGAGACACGGUCCAAACUCCUACGGGAGGCAGCAGUGAGGAAUAUUGGUCAAUGGGCGAGAGCCUGAACCAGCCAAGUAGCGUGCAGGAUGACGGCCCUAUGGGUUGUAAACUGCUUUUGUAUGGGGAUAAAGUCAGUCACGUGUGAUUGUUUGCAGGUACCAUACGAAUAAGGACCGGUUAAUUCCGUGCCAGCAGCCGCGGUAAUACGGAAGGUCCAGGCGUUAUCCGGAUUUAUUGGGUUUAAAGGGAGCGUAGGCCGGAGAUUAAGUGUGUUGUGAAAUGUAGACGCUCAACGUCUGACUUGCAGCGCAUACUGGUUUCCUUGAGUACGCACAACGUUGGCGGAAUUCGUCGUGUAGCGGUGAAAUGCUUAGAUAUGACGAAGAACUCCGAUUGCGAAGGCAGCUGACGGGAGCGCAACUGACGCUUAAGCUCGAAGGUGCGGGUAUCAAACAGG